rnacentral:rRNA from 1 species
CCUACGGGCGGCAGCAGUGGGGGAUAUUGCACAAUGGGGGGAACCCUGAUGCAGCGACGCCGCGUGGGUGAAGAAGCGCCUCGGCGCGUAAAGCCCUGUCAGCAGGGAAGAAAAUGACGGUACCUGAAGAAGAAGCCCCGGCUAACUACGUGCCAGCAGCCGCGGUUAUACGUAGGGGGCAAGCGUUAUCCGGAUUUACUGGGCGUAAAGGGGGCGCAGACGGGGAUGCAAGCCAGGAGUGAAAGCCCGGGGCCCAACCCCGGGACUGCUCUUGGAACUGCGUGGCUGGAGUGCAGGAGGGGCAGGCGGAAUGCCUGGUGUAGCGGUGAAAUGCGUAGAUAUCAGGAGGAACACCGGUGGCGAAGGCGGCCUGCUGGACUGCAACUGACGUUGAGGCCCGAAAGCGUGGGGAGCGAACAGGAUUAGAUACCCCGGUAGUC